AACUGAUCAUCACGUUGGUUCCGUUUUGAUUCAAUAUUUCGGGUCGAUUUGAUCCAAAAAAAUAUCCAAAUAUUGGAGUUAAAGCAGAGCAAACAAAAUUACCCUUUUUUUUUUUUUUUGGACAAAACAAAAAAAAUUACCUUCCUUUCAAAAUAACUACUCCCUCUGUUUCAAAAUAAAUAGAUUUCAAAUUUCUAAUAAUCUUAUAUUCAUAAUUGGUUCUUUCCCAUUAACCCUAGUGGCAUUUCCAUCUAACCACAUUUUCCGAACCUUCCAUUAAUAGCAUUCUCAUAUUUUAUCAAGUGGAACUAGUCUUUAAAUGAUCCACUGCCAAUUUCUAUUAUUUAUAUGUUUACUUUUACAUUAUUCAAAGUCUUCUCCUUCUUGUU